ensembl:lncRNA
UCUCCCAGAGAGGCCGGAAGCCGGAGGCUUCCGCCCUCGGUGGCUACGCCGCUUCCGGCCGGAUGGUGUGGUGGCGGUGAGGCCGGUGCGCUCCCCGAGGGCCGGCCCGGCGGCCCCGGCUGAUGUCCGCAGCGCCCGGGCCUCACGUCUCUCCGGCUGCUGCCGAGGUUUAGGAACGGAGUUCCGAGAUGAAGGCGGCGGCGCCGGGAAGACGCCGGUUUGGGAGCAGGAGGUGCGCCGCCCCGGCAGGCCCGGGAGGGAGCGAGGACGCCCUCUGCCGGUGUCGCCUCCCCUCUGGCGCCGGCUGUGCGAGGCUGCGGCUCCCGGGGCGGCCCUGGAGCGUGUCCUCACGGGCACUCAGACCCGCGCUCGGUGUGGUCGUUUUCUGGUCGUGACCUGAAGUCUCACCCGCGCAUUUGCUUGAACUGGAAGAGCCCAGCGUGCUCGGUUUGCUAUUUUCAUUUCAGUCCGUCUGUCGUCAAGCUUCACGUUCUCUCCGCAUUGCAGGUUUGACGUCAGAAUUCACCGGCAGCGCCCGUUCUCCUUCGGAAUUCGUAUUUCCGUGCUUCACUCGGUGGGUUUCCAGAUGAUGGGUCAGCUUUAACCCCAGUAAAGCCUUCAGCAGCCUUUCGCAUUUGUGUACGUUAAUGACUCGUCUUGCCUCAGGAGUAGCCCGAAAAACACCCCCAAAGCCAGUCUCCCACAUUCUCCAGCCUGUGCCGUAAUACGUGUUGCCUCGGUGACAGCCCGUAGUGGCUGCAGCCUUGGCUCCCGACCCUGAAAGAGCAGGACCGCGCUAGGAGCCAAGAAUGUGUGCUGUGCCGGAAGAACCCCCAACAACCAGGACGCAGCCACUGCUGCUCCUGACUUUGGGCGUUUCUGUUACCUGGGGACGCCUGCACCCUGGGAGGCCUCCGCCCCAACCCUAUAGAGGACCUCUGGCGGCAGUGGCGGAUGUCCCGCCGCCGAGGAGCAGAUCCUGACCAUCCUGCCCGCGGAGCACCAGGCCCGGGUGUUAGAGCAUCAGCCAGAGAGCAGGGAGGAGGCGGCGAUCGCGUGGGGGCUUUGCAGAGAGAGCUCCACGAAACAGGUUGUAGCCAGGACAGGUGGAAUAGGAGUGUGUUCAGAGUUUCCUCACCAGGCAGCACAGAAGCCACCAGCUAUUCUAGGCCAAGAAACAUGUAGACUUCCAGGCCAUUCAUGAACAAGGUAAGCGUCAGGAUCCAUCUUGAGAGAGGGUGGCCGAAAGCUGUGCCAGCUAUCUAGGUUGAAAAGCAAUUCGGAACACCUGAGACAGAAACACGGUGCUGAAUCCAACUGAAUAUCUGUCCUCUCAAGUACAGCAUUCCAGCUUGGGCAGCACUAGCAGAGGACGUGAUGCGGAAUAACAUAACGCUGUCGUCCCUAUUAUCUGACUCGUGAGGAAGCUGUACAGCAUUCCUAACCUCAUUGAACAACCUUUUCAGACUGCUCUCAUAACGUUUAUCUUUACUUAAAGCUAUUUGUGUUUUCAUCAUAUGUAAUCAUAGCCUAACCUCUACUGUACAUUUAGUACUUGCUCUGUAAAGCAGAACUCACUCUUUUGUAUUAAAAUGACCUUUUCUGAAUUUCCCACAUCCUUUGAAGCCAUUUUGUACCUCUUUUCUGUUCCCUGUGAUGGCAGCUACAUCAUCUGCCUCAUCUUUCAGACUCCUCAAACCCUGUUUGUUUGGUUUUUCCCUUGGUCCCUGCUGUCUUUAGUUAAAAAAGAUUCUAAAAUAUCUUAGAUUUCUCUUUUUAGUAUUAUCUCCUUAUUGGCCCUGUUCCCUCUAGUACAUUUGAAUUUAUCCUGACCAUCAAUUAAAAACAAAUUUUUCAGGGCACUUAGGUGGCUCAGUUGGUAAAGUGUCCAAAUUCGGCUCAGGUCAUGAUCUCACAGUUUGUGAGUUCAAGCCCUGCAUUAGGCUCUGCACAGUCAGUGAGGGGAUUCUCUGUCACUUUCUCUCUGCCCCUCCGCCGCUUGUGUGCACCUGCUCCCCCCACCCUGCCAAUAAGUAAAUAAACUUUAAUGAAAAAAAGAAAACAAAUUAUUUUUCUUUGUCACUUUCAACUGCGAUCCCCAAACUUACUGCUUAUUUUCAUCAUCAUCUACUUUUGACACCCAUUGUUACUCUCAUUAUUCAAUCCAACUCUCUUUGAUUGUCGCUCUAUUUGUCUCUUUCCUUGCCCACUUCGUCCCAUAAUUCUGUACCUACAGAAUGGGAGAAAAUAUUAAAACGCAGAUGGGGUGCCUGGCUGACUCAGUUGGUACAGCAUGUGACUGUUGAUUCAAGCCCCACAUUGGGCACAGAGCCUACCUUAAAAAAUAAAACACAGGCAGAGGAGGCAAACAUACAUUUUUCCAAAGAAGACAUACAGAUGACCAAGAGAUACAAAUUAUCAGAGAAUUGCAAGUCAAAACCACAAUGGGAUAUUACCUCAUGCCAGUGAGAAUGACUGGUGUCAAAAGGACAAGAAAAAAAAAAAAGACAAGAAAUAAUAAGUGUUGGUGAGGAUGUGGAGAAAAGAGAAUCCUCAUGCACUGUUGGAGGGAAUGUAAAUUGGCGCAGUCACUCUGGAAAACGGUAUGGAAGUUCCUCAAAAAAUUAAAAAUAGAACUACCCAGCAAUUGCACUACUAGUUAUUUAUCUCCAUACAAGGGUCUGACAUUGGGAAAAAUUGCCAUGUCAAGAGGAAAAGACCUUGAAGCUUUUCUCAUGCUUCUUUCCGUAGCGUCCUUUUCCAAACAUAUUAUCUGUUGAAAGAGACCUGAAUUCUUAAUGAAAUUGCCGAAUAUGUAGCCCAUUAUUAGAGCUUCUUAUGCACAGGGGUAGUCUGAGACGUUACCAGAGCUGAACUCACCUGAAAAGCUCUCCCACAUUUAUUACAUUCAUAGGGUUUCUCUAAUACUGAAUAAGGCCAGUGCUUGCACUGGAAGCUUUCUCACAUUCUUUACAUUUCUUUUUAACUUUUUUUUUUUUUUUUUUUUUUUUUUGAGAGACAGAGCAUGAGCAGGGGAGGGGCACAGAGAGAGAAGGAGACACAGAAUCUGAAGCAGGCUCCAGGCUCUGAGCUGUCAGUACUGAGCCCAACGUGGGGCUCAAAUUCAUGAACUGCGAGAUGAUGACCUGAGCUGAAGCCAACUGAACUACCCAGGCACCCGUCUUUACAUUUCUUUAUAAGUUUAUUUAUUUUUGAGAGAGAGAGUGAUCGGGGAGGGGCAAAGAGAGGGAAAGAGAGAGAGAAUCCCAAGCAGGCUCCACGCUGUCAGCACAAAGCCCAACACAGGGCUCAAACUCACAAACCUUGAGAUUAUGACCUAAGCCAAAAUCCAGAGUUGAAUGCUGAACGGACUGAGCCACCCACAUGCCCUACAUUUUUUACGUUUAUAGGGCUUCACUCUAGCCUGG